UACGGGGGGGGCAAACGUUGUUCGGAAUUACUGGGCGUAAAGCGCGUGUAGGCGGCUUGGCAAGUCGGGUGUGAAAGCCCUGGGCUCAACCUAGGAAGUGCACUCGAAACUGCUUCGCUUGAGUGUCGGAGAGGAAAGCGGAAUUCUCGGUGUAGAGGUGAAAUUCGUAGAUAUCGAGAGGAACACCGGUGGCGAAGGCGGCUUUCUGGACGAUAACUGACGCUGAGACGCGAAAGCGUGGGGAGCAAACAGG
rnacentral:rRNA from 1 species